UCUUGAUUGAAAAAAUGACAAAUAUAUUCAUGUAUUAAAAUUUAGAAAAAAUAAAUCUAAAUAAAAAGGUGAUUUUUUGAAGAAAAAAAAAGCUUGCUAAUAUCACUCAAAAAAAUUGUGUGGGGAAUAUCACUCAACUUAGUCUAAGUCAACCGAAAUCUAACUACAUCUUUAAAAAUACUUUAGUUUUGGAUAUGAUUCAUUCGUUGCCUACCUAGCAGCUAGCUUGGUUUCCGAUUCAAGAACGCAAUCGGUAAUUAGCCGGUAAAAAAUCAGCCGGACGGUUGGGCUGGAUCGAUUGGACUUUUGAUAAUUUUCCUGACCCAUAUCAAUGCAUCUAGCAUCGCCACCUACCUUCAAUUAGCCACACCGUCACCUACCUUCCCACCGCCCCUCACAUUUCUCCCCGUCGUUCCCCAUUCUUCCUUGGUCGCCAGCUCCCUCUCUCCACCUCGUCAGGCCACCCCUCCCCUUCGUCCCCACCGCCAGCAAGAGGUUCGCAACCCCUUCUCUUCCCCGCGUUUUCAUCGAAUCCAGUCGCCCAAGUGGCCGAGGAUGUCCCCCAGCUGGCCAGCUCGGCAUGCUCGCGAGCAUCCUAGCGUUAGGCUCCGUCGGAUGCGCGCGACUUCCCCGCCCCUGCUCUUCCCCGUCCUUCUUCGAAUCCGUUCGCCGAAGUGCCCAAGGAGGCGCUCGAGCUCAGCGCACUCACGGGCGACCCAGCGCGAGGCGGGCGCCGAGGCCCGCAACAAGCCAACAAGGAGCGGGCGUGGGUGCGCAACAAUAUCUGGGCACAGUUCGAUGCCUCCACUGCUGAGCCGUGGAGAUGUGCAGGAGCCAGUGAGAUACGGCCACCUCCCAGCCAGUUCACCAGCCUCCGCGAAGAUGUGUAGGAGCCAGUGUGCCUCUGUGUGAUGUGCUAUUCAAGAUACCUCUACAUAUUUCCCCCUUCUUAAUGAAAAGGCAGCGCUCCUGUCGGUUCCUCAAAAAAAUUGUGUUAUUCAGGAUACAAUGGCACUCGAUAAUGCUUGCUAAGAAGAUAAAUUUGCUUGCAGGGCUCUUGAUGAUAUAUCCACUUUCAUCAAAUGCUUAAGGGUAUGGUCACUUGGAGAAGACAUAGCUAUGACUACAAAGAUCUGUUUUUUCAGAUCACCAUCAGGUGCAGACAUACUCUUUCUUCCACAUACUACAGUAGUACCCCUCCAAUCAGAUGUACAGAAAUUUGCUUGCUAAAAAACUAAUCAAUAAUCCAUGAAAUUUAACUGGAUUAAUUAAGGAUCAAGCCACUCACCUUGUGGCUACAAUCCACCAGAUCCAUCUCUCCACGUUCCUGCAUGUGAAGAAUUGAUCAGUGCUUCAGGUCAGAACUACUGCAUAGUGCAUACCUUAUACAUGGAGCCCUUACUAAAAAUUCAGAAGAAUAUGCAGAAUAUCCAUUUUUAUUGACAUAGAUAUCUGCAGUCCUAGACAAAAUGUGACCAUAAUCCACACUACUACAAGUGAAUUACUAUAUAGCUACCUUAUGGGGCCUAUAUGCCUGAUAGUCAUAUCUUCUUGUUUGGCAAAGAGUUCACCAGUUGCACUUAGUCUUGAAUGGAGAAGAUUGCACAUGCUAUUGUACAACUGGGCAAUGGUGUGGAGCUCCAUAAGCGACGGCGGCGACUCUAGCUGUCCUUCUGGCCUACACAUCCCAACGGAGAAGCUUUAGAAACUAAUCUGUUUACUCCUCGUUCAGGAUCAGUAAUGAACAUAUUAUUACACAAAUUAAUUUACCAAAACCGGGUUCUCAUUGUUGGUGAUGAAAAUGUAGCAACAUUGACAUGGUUUUUGUCAAUACUACAACACUAUUGAUGCAGGCUUGACACACAACUGGAUUAUAGAUCAAUUAUCUUCUCACUUCAGUAACACCAUGAUCUUGUGCUUGCUUUUUGAAAAUCAUGGAAGAACAACCUGUGAUCUGGUACCAAGUUUUGGCACAACCAUUAACUCCCAAAGUGAUUCACCAGAGUGCUUUAUGCUUUCCAACAGGUAUGCGUCGUACAAGAUGGAUUUAUUCUUGACCGAUUGGAAGCAUACCGCAACACGGCGUACACAAGGGCUAGCCUAAGCAUGCAGAUACAGAAGGUUUAGUUCAGUGGCUGUGCUGGACAGGAGGGGCCAAGGAAUUGCUUUAAGUUGUUCCAAGAGAUGUGAGCCUGAUAAAACGAUGACAUAGCAGAUUUCCACUGUGAAAUUUGGGUGGGAGGUCCUGCAUGUACAAUUAAUUUUCGCACAGAAGAUGAUUACAAUCAGAAUGGUGGCUGGACCGGAAGGCAAAGCCAGUUAAAUUUACCUUUUGAGCUUCCUGCUAUUAGUUGCCUCUGAUACGCAUCAUUCCUAUGCAACCAAUUGGAUUCAUCAUCGCAGCACCACAUGAGUACCCAUUUUUUCUGGCAUAUUCGAUGAGGUGUGAACAUGCAAGUACAUGCAGGACCUCCCACCCAAAAGGUCUCCUUGCAGGACCACUCUCAGUGGUUGGCCCUCCUGUUCACUUACACAAAAACAGAAGGCAGAAGAUGAUAUUGGCCCUGCUGUUGAGCCGCAAACAUAGAAUGUUGCUUUGGCAGGUCAAAGGAAGAAGCAGGUCGAAGGAAGAAGUUUAGACUAAAGACAUGGUCAAAGGAAGAAGCAGGUCGAAGGAAGAAGUUUAGACUAAAGUGGAGAGAAGAAUUUUACAGCUGCGUGUAUCCGGCUGGCUGCGACGGGCAGGGCGGGCUGUACCAGUGGGGAUCUCCCGUAGGGAUGCCACGCUGCGAGGGCAGGAUCCUGGGUGUUCCCUGGCGUCGCUGCCCUGGCGACCUUGCUAGAAGUUCUGUGGCGUCGCUGCCCUGGCGACCUCGGGGAAGGAAGCGACGCUGCUCGCGGACGGUCUCCACGUUGGUCGGCAACAAUGGCGAUGACAUUGGCGAUGGUGCGACGGUGCGAUGUCGAAUUAAUUUUGUUUCCUUAUUUUACCAGGAGAUCAGCGUGGUGUGAUGACGAAUUAAUGUUGUUUCCUUAUUUACCUGGAGUACAGCGUGAUUGUAGGGGGUGGAUGGGGGGUGCUGGAGGUGGAGCACGGUCAGUCAAGGGUAUUUCCUAAGUCCACACCGUACAGGCAGCAAAUGAAUGAUGGCUGUUAGAUUUAGAUGCGCGGGUAUAAUUGUGUGGUGUUGAUUGUUCCGUGCGUUUUGUGGGACAAGUUGCCGGGUGUACUUAGCGAA